rnacentral:lncRNA from 1 species
CUUUUUUUAAAAAAUUUGGUCAAUUUCAAACAUUAUUCCUUGGUUACAAAAAUCAUAUUCUAUUCUUCCCUCCCCUCUUCCCACCCUUUCUGUAGCUGAUGUGCAAGUCCACUGGGUAUUACAUGUGUCCUUGAUCAGCACCUAUUUCCAUGCUGUUGAUGUUUGCACUAGGAUUUUCAUUUAGGAUCUGUAUACCCAAUUACACCCCCCUUGACCCAUUUAAUCAAGACUUUGUUUUCCUUCUGUGUUUCUGCUUCCACAGUUUUUACUCUGCAUAUGGAUAGUGUUCUUUCUCAUAGAUCCCUCCAGGUUGUUCAUGAUCACUGCAUUGCCACUAAUGGAGAAGUCCAUUAUAUUCUAUUAUCAGUCUCUGUUUACAAUGUUUUCCUGUUUCUGCUCCUUUCACUCUGCAUCAAUUUCUGGAGGUCAUUCCAGUCGUCAUGGAAUUCCUCCACUUUAUUAUUCCUUUGAACACAAUAGUAUUCUAUCACCAACAUAUACUACAAUUUGUUCAGUAAUUCCCCAAUUGAAGGGCAUCCCCUACUUUUCCACUUUUUUGCCACCACAAAGAGUGCAGUUAUGAAUAUUUCUGCACAAGUCUUUUUCCUUAUUAUCUCUUAGUCCUUAUUAUCUCAUAGCCCAACAGUGCUAUGGCAAGAUCAUAGGGCAGUCUUUUAGCGCCUUUUAGGCAUUGUUCCAAAUUACCUUCCAGAAUGGUUGGACUAAUUCACAACCCCACCAGUAAUGCAUUAAUAUCACAACUUUGUCACAUCCCCUCCAGCAUUCAUUACAUUCCAUUGCUGUCAUGUUAGCCAAUCUGCUAGGUGUGAGGUGAAACCUCAGAGUUGUUUUGAUUUGCAUCUCUCUAAUUAUAAGAGAUUUAGAACACUUUUCAUGUGCUUAUUAAUAGUUUUGAUUUCUUUAUCUCAAAAUUGCCUAUUCAUGUUCCUUGCCCAUUUAUCAAUUGGAGAAUGGCUUGAUUUUUUGUACAAUUGAUUUAGCUCUUUAUAAAUUUGAGUAAUUAGACCUUUGUGAGAAGUUUUUAUGAAGAUUGUUUCCCAAUUUGUUGCUUUCCUUCUAAUUUUGGUUGCUUUGAGGUUUUUUUUGGUACAAAUUUUUUAAUUUGAUGUAAUCAAAAUUAUUGAUUUUACAUUGUGUGAUUUUUUUCUAACUCUUCCUUGGUUUUAAAGUCUAUCCUUUCCCAAAGGCCUGACAUGUAUACUAUUCUGUGUUCACCUAAUUUGCUUAUAUUUCCUUCUUUAUAUUCAAGUCAUUCACCCAUUCUGAAUUUAUCUUGGUGUAGGGUAUGUGAUGUUGAUCCAAACCUAAUCUCUCCCAUACUGUCUUCCAAUUUUCACAGCAGUUUUUAUCAAAUAUUGGAUUUUUGUCCCCAAACCUGGGAUCUUUGGACUUAACAAAGACUGUCUUGCUGAGGUCAUUUACCCCAAGUCUAUUCCACAGAUAAGCCUCCUUUCUGUCUCUUAGCCAGUAGCAAAUUGUUUUAAUUACUACUGCUUUAUAGUAUAGUUUGAGAUCUGGGACUACAAGGCCUCCUUCCUUUGAAUUUUUUUUCAUUAUUUCUC